rnacentral:lncRNA from 1 species
CUGGUAUUAUGCAUCUUCAAACUUUAAGAAAGGAUAUAAAAAUGACUAAUGAUUGAACAUUAAAAAAUAGGAAAGUGUUAACAGAAAAGGUUCCCAUAUUAAGUGUUUGAGUAGGUCUCACAUGGAUUGAGCUAGAAAAUUUUGAUUAUUAGGUAGAAAUUUAUGUACUCUAAAUGUAUACUCUAAAUUUUAGGGUCAUCAUACUCAAUGAAAAAUACUACCUAAUUUUUGUUGUUUUAAGAAUGCUAGCAACACUCUCUUUUGAGCACUUACUCUCUUAUUGGUUUAAAUCAUUGUGGAUCUACACUUUGAAAAUUGAAUCCACACAAAGUGGUGGGACAUAUUGAUUGUAUCCCAUGAGAGAGUAAGUAUUAGAGGAAAUGUUCAAAAGUGAGUGUUGCUAGCAUUUUUUUUUAUUAGCAGUGAUAUUAUUGUGGCUUAGAACAGGAGGAUAUUGAUCUAAUGGAAGCCAUGAAAGUAAACAGCUACAGAUUCUCAAUUUCAUGGGCAAGAGUUCUACCAAGUAUGCUUCUUAAUUUGAUUAUUCUCAAUUUAGAUAUUACCAUCUGCUUGAAAUCAAUUCUUUAUGUAAACUUUGAUACCCUUUUUGCAGAAGGAAGAUUUGGAGAAGUCAAUUCUGGUGGCAUCAGCUAUUACAAUCGGCUAAUAGAUGCUUUGCUUCUCAAAGGUUUAUUUCUAGCUCUUAAAUGAGAAUGUCACAUUAAUUAAAGAAUGCUAGCAUACUAAAACUAUUAACUCUGACCAUUUCAACAAAAAUCAUCCGAGCCCACUUAUUCACCGUAUAAGAUGAAUUUUUGGCCACUAGGUUACUCAGGCACCGAUCUACAUUGCUCUAAUUGAGGACUUUUGACCCCACUUAUGCAUUACUCAUGCAUGAAUUUAGAUGAUGACCCCAUACAAUUUCAUAUUGCCCCCACAAAAGUUUAUUUAGUGUACUAAAGACAAACAAUUACACCAUGAUGAUACUACUACUAAAGACUAAAGGCUAAGGAAAAUUUGGAUUGCAUUUCUGUCGAUAGAGAAAAGUUAAUGGAGUGAUAAGUGAGAAAAUUUUACAUUGGGAUCCCAUUUUAUUAAUCUUCAAUUUAAAAAUUACUAUUUUUGGAUGCUUAAACAAUAUCUUAAAAUACUUGUUACUAGCAUUUUAUUUAAAGAAGGUUUGUCUUGAAAAUACAAAUCAAACACAUGUAAAAAUCAUAACUACACAAUUUUCAAUGUAGAAAUUAUUCAUUUAUUCAUUUUAAAAAUAGUGACCGGUGUGCAAUGUAUGUGAGCAUUAAUUAAGAGUACUAUCUUCUGUUCCUACCGAUCAAAAAAAAGUUCAUGAAAACUUGUCUAAAACUACACAGCCACACAUUAACAUUUGUAUUUUUCUUAGUAGUUGUAUUCACUUCUGUUUUGAAUCUAAGAAAAAAUCUCUAAUUUUAUGAUCUCAAAACACCUUUCAAUAGUUUAUAUUUCAUUUUUCAGUAAUCUCUUAAUUUUAUGAAACACGUGACAUUUUGGAGGAUAUCUGUUUUAUUUUACAAAAAGAAAAUUAAAUUAGACUACUUACUUUUUUUUAUGUUUAAUUAAAGUAGGUUGUUUUGUUGCUUACAUUUAACACUAGAGUGAGUGCACAUACAUAGUACGUGGAAUAUAUUUUUCUUUUAAAAAAAACUUUAUAGAUGUGAACACAACACAAGAUCAAACAUAACUUGCUGUGCACUGAAUCACUUUGAUUCCCUGAUGAAUUGGACAACUUGCAGGAAUUGAACCAUUUGUGACACUGUCACAUUUCGAUUUACCUCAAGAACUUGGAGACAGAUACGAAGGUUGGCUAAGUCCAGAGUCACAGUAAGUAAUUUAAUUACCCUUCUUAUUGUACAUAUACAUGUCAUUAUUUACUUGUCAUAAGCUAAUAUUUAUCAAUACUUUGAUUGAUGCACAGGGAAGAUUUCGUAUAUCUAGCAGACCUUUGUUUCAAAUCAUUUGGUGACAGGGUAAAAUACUGGGCAACCUUCAAUGAGCCAGAUUAUCUGAUCACAUACGGCUACCGCAAAGGAAUAGCUCCGCCAUUUCGUUGCUCUAAACCAUUUGGAAAUUGUAGUGAAGGAGAUUCAGAGAAGGAGCCAUAUCUGGCGGUUCACAAUAUAAUCCUAUCUCAUGCAGCUGCAGCAUAUAUUUAUAGAACUAAAUACCAGGUAGUCUUUUAGUUUAUAACAUAACAUUCUAUACAUUAAAAAAAGAGUAGUGCUAAAAACAUUAACACUCUUUUCAAUAUCCACUCUUAUUUGAUGAAAGUCAUGAGUCACACAACACUAUGUAUAUGACAUUUGCAAUAUGAUGGGAUCCACAUAAAAUUCAUUCAAUAAGAGAGUGACUUUUGGAAAGUGUGUUAGGCUAAAUUACACCUUUAUAUAUGUGCCAAUACAAGGUUCUUCACAAUUGUCCUUGAUAAGGAUAAAGACAUCUUGCUUAAAAAUGGAAGUGGAAACAAUCAGAAAUACUAAUUCAAAUUGUGGUGAAUGAAAUAUUCAGGCCGAGCAAGGUGGUAAAAUUGGCAUUGUCUUGCAUUUUGACUGGUAUGAACCCAUCAGCAAUUCCAUGGCAGACAAGCUGGCCACAGAAAGAGCAAGAUCAUUCACCAAUAAUUGGUAUCCUUUCCUUCAAUAAACAACCUUUUUUGUUUGUAAUCAACUUCCAUACAAUGAAACAUGACACACAAACACUGAACACGAAACUGACAUAUACAUCGAUAAUAAUUUUUUUUUAAAGUAAUUGAACGUUACUACAUGUGUUCGAAUUGGUCCCACCUUCAAACAAGCUUAUUCUCUAAGUAAUUAUUUGAUAUAAUAACUAUAACCCAAAGCAGGCUCUUGGACCCAAUCAUAUUUGGUGAAUACCCUCCAGUUAUGCAGAAGAUUCUAGGAGAUAUAUUACCCAAAUUUUCCAACAAUAAUAAAGAGAAACUGAAGAGUGGAUUGGAUUUUAUUGGCAUCAAUCAUUAUGCAAGCUACUAUAUCAAGGACUGCAUCUACUCCAAAUGUGAACCGGGGCCAGGGAUCACCAGAACAGAGGGUUUAUUCCAACAAAGUGCAGAAAAAGAUGGCGUUCCAAUUGGCAAACCUGUAUGUAUUUUCAACCUUACAUCAAUAAAGAUUAAUGAAACUAACAUUUUCCCUUUGCAUUACCAACCUAAUUCUGAAACUUCUGUUGACAUGUAUGCAGACUUCAAUUGAUUGGCAAUAUGUUUAUCCACAAGGCAUGGAGAAAAUUGUCACCUAUGUAAAAACCAGAUACAAUAACACUCCAAUGUUCAUAACUGAAAACGGUACGUAUAACAGUGAAUCCUCUAAUGGAUGGAGUUUGUGUGUUUCUGUUUUAAUAAAUUGUUUUUUAGGUUAUGGGGAGUUGGACAACCCAAAUAACACUGAGGAGCAAUACCUUAAUGAUUUUGACAGAAAAAACUACAUGGCUGGUCAUUUGCUUUCCCUACUAGAAGCCAUAAGGUAGGAUAUAUGAAAACCCAGCUAUAUGAAGUGCAUUCUAAAAUUAAAUCUCUAUCUGUGAUGUCACUUUGAACCCUAUCUGUCUUUUUUGUUUGUAUAUAUAAACUCACUCAAAUUUGCUCAAUGCCAUAUCCCUAUGCUUUAUGACUAGUAUCCCUUUGCUUUAAGAUCAAUUUCUUUUUGUUUUGCCAUUUACCAUGUAAUCAGGAAAGGAGCUGAUGUUAGGGGGUACUUUGCAUGGUCCUUGCUCGACAACUUCGAGUGGUUACAAGGAUAUACAGUAAGAUUUGGACUCCACCAUGUUGAUUAUGCAACACUCAAGAGAACUCCAAGAUUAUCAGCAAAUUGGUACAAGGAAUUCAUAGCAAAACAUAAAACAGAAGUCUUCCGCCAAGAAAAAUGAUAAAAGGAAAACAGGUGCAAACAAUUUGGUACAAAUAAACGAAAUAAAUGCCAGGUCCUAAUCAGCUAAGCUUUCAAUAGUUUGGCACGUUUGAUUUGUGCUUCUAUAUUCAAUGAAAAUGUUGUUCCAUUCUUCAUAAAGAUUUGUUUAAUUCUGCAAUUUAAAGCUCUGGCUUACAUGUUAAGGGUUGAUUUGAAAAGAAAUGAAGUUCAAGUUUCACCAGUCUACUAGAAUAAAUUUCGAUCUAGAACCCCUCCUGCAGUGCUGCAUGUAUGUAUUAUUAUAAGAAUUGAAAUCAUUUCAUCUGAUGUUUAUUCAUACUUAUGGUUGAUAUAAGAUUGUCAUAACAUCACCAAACUAUAGAGGAAGAGACUCGAGAACCUGGUAGAUCAAAGUUUUUGAUGAAUUUCAACAUUAAGACAAUAACUUUCAUAAUUUAUUCACAUACACCAAUGACACCAUGUUUUGUCUCAUGAAACAAGGAGAGAUAUUUGUUGUUCUUCGCUUUCUCGUAGAUCUUAAAUUUCAAGCUAACUAAUUUGAUGCAUUCCUUGACAUUAUUGCUUUAUGGGAUGCUUUGCUUAAUAGACUUCUCCAUAGUAUAAUUUAGUAGACAGAAAAGCUCAAACUUAAGGUGUAAUAAUACAAAUGAAUAUUGCAAAUCUGUUUGAGACAUCUAUGGCACCUUAGAAAGCGUAAAAAAGUCAAUGUUCCUCAUUGCCUACAAGACAGAGUAUGAUCAUAUCGUCGGUGUACAUGAGCAUAUUAUGAAGCAAGUGCGUUACUAUAAUAAAAUGAACUUUUCCAAGGCUGACAUUGGUGAAACCUCUAUCAUUUGGUGAGUUCUCAAUUCUGUUCAUCCACAUUUUGAUGUUAUGAAGACCUCUUAUGACACUUGGAAAUAUGACUGGACAAUGGAUCCGUCUAUCAUUAACCUAAAUGAUCAUUAACAUGAAUAUUAACUUUCUAGCAUAAACAAAAAGCUUCUAUACCAAAAUGCAAAUAGAGUACAAGAAAACUAAGACAAGCACUUUUAGGGAUUGACGAGAGCUCGAAAUACCACUAUCUAAUAUUGUGACUUUUCUUGAUUCAUCAAUAUCCAAGUAAACGGAGGUCUUGACCAGUGAAUAAUAUAUCCUCAGGCUUGCCUAUUUAGAGUUGAUUGUAAUAAAAUAGGAUGCUCAGGGCUCACCGGUAUAUGACAGCAUGCACCAUCCUUCCAUGAAACUCCUCCUUUUUGUUUGGGUUUCUCUUUUCAAAUUAGCACAACCUCACUCCACUCCUCCCCCAUCUUAGAAAAAAUUUGCACUUUUACUGCAAAAGGAGGAACCAUCAACGAUACAUGACAAAUCUUCCUUCAAUUGAAUGAAUAUCAGCGUCUGCAUGCAAAAACAUCUCUUUACUUUUUCAGGCAUACAAAAUUUACAGAUCAGUUGUAACACUGAACCAUGAUGAUUCCAACUUGAAUUACAAUGAUACUCACUCAAAACUGAGGCAAAAUUCAAACAUAACUUCAGACUUGAGCCAUAUCCUCAACUCAAGCAUAUUCCAGCAUUUUAACACCUCCACCAAGGUGAACCAGCUCUGUGAAAGUGUUCAUCAUCAUCCCAUGAAAUUUGGCAAGCUUGAAGUCCAAUUGCAACACUAGGCUCUUUUCCAUGUUGUGCAACCCAGUUUAUAACAGCCGCUUCUUUUUCACUCUCACUAGGGAAAUCUUUCUUGUAUUUUCCAAAUGGAUUAAGUCCAGGAUUUAUCAUCUCUGCAACUGCAGCUGGCAUAUACAUAGUAUCACCAACUAAUGGUGCCUUACAAGCAGCAAAUUGAGCUCGAAUCUGCAUUAAAAUUGAAGUCAUUAUAUCAGUAAAAACAGUAGUUUUGUUUUCCUAAAAGAUAAUUAGAUAAAAGAAAUGUAAGAAAGUUUUCUUUGUUCAUUCAUUAUAAAUUUAAAUAGUGCUAAAUGGGAACCAGCUGGUUCGCCAUUCAGAUAAAAGAAUCUGAAAAUUGAAUUGGCUGAUACCAUUAGAAGAUAUAAACUUCCAGAAAACAAGUGGAGGGGAGCGAUAUAUUAAAAUUGAAACACUCCUUGGCAAUUAACACAAAUAUAGCCUAAUAUUAGAUCCAACAAUUGCUAGAAUAAUAGAUUUUGUCUUUACAACAAUGAUUUAUAGCAGCCAACAGAUUGCUUCACUACUAAAGGCAGCUGGUCAACAGGCUAUAGCUGAUGAAGGCAUAUAGCACAAAAAUACAUAAAACAAAGCAGGCAAUAAAUCACUUUUCAAUUUACCAGAAGAUAAGAAUUUAUCAAUCAACUGUGUUUUCAUUAUUUUUUUGAAUUGAUCAUUCGUAUCUAUAAUCUAUCAUAUGUCUUAAGAAUCAACAAAAGAAAAAUGCAAAUAUUACAUUAAAAGACAGCUAACAGACCUGAUGAGUUCGACCAGUAAGAAGGUUGAUUUUGCACUCAUACGCGUAAUCUUGAGAUGGCCACCCACAGUCUUCAACACAAUACUCAUCUUGAACAACACUAGUUGGCCAGGGAAUCUUUCUGCAUUCUAUGACCUCAAGUUGACAAAGAAGCCAUCCCUUGAUAAAAUCUGCACUCAAUAAACAUACGGGGUUCAAUCACAAUACAAGACCCUUAUCAGGAAAACUUUUACCAAUUCCUCGAAGCAAACAAAUGAUUUAAAGUUUAACUGUACAUAAGAAACUAGAAAUGCAUUUGCCCAUUGACACAUCAUGUUGUUGUUUGGAGUCCAUUGGGUUGGGUGAACACCUAUUCAAAUUCUACUCAAUCAAAAAUAAAAAUGAUAGAAGUUGAUUAGGUAGCUGAUUUCUAUCUUGGCUAAUGCACUUAACUUAAUCAUAUGGUCAAAACUUUAUGAUAUCACAAUUCCUUAGUGCAGUAUAAAGCUGAUAUAUUAUCCCCAAGCGCAUCACUAUGUCUUCCAUUGUCAACUCUUUGCAUUUAGUCUUUUCAGGGAGUGGAAUAUUGAAUAUCAAGCAUAGGCAAAGCUAAUGUCACAAACAAGUCAUGCUUUCACUAAUAUCAUGAAUCAUGCAGUUGGCUUCUCCCACUGAAGUUUCUCAUAAUACAUAAUCAACGAAAGUACACAUAUUUACUAAACUAUUUUAUUUCAAGUUCUCAAACAAUCUUUAGCUAAGAACUCCAAUUUGUGUAGUUACCUUCCGAAAUAAGUCGAGGGGCCAUGUUAAUAGGACGCAUAUAGUGGUUAAUGAUUCCAGUUGGUAUAGGACAUGCUGCAAGAGCAAGAUAGAGCUUCUUCACUUUUUUCUCCUGAAGAAAAUAAUUUAGUAUUCAAUAAUUUGCACAUUCACUUGGAGUGAAAAGAACUCUUUCAAAGAAUGAAUCCUCAUCUCACGUAGAACUGUAGAAGAUUGCUCUAGUAUAAACUAUGAAAUAAGUUCAUGAGUUACCCGUAUUUUGCCAUGAAAGACAGAGCAAUACUCUUUAUUCCUAGCUAAUACUACACUGCACGUAAAUAACAAUAUAUUACAUUCUCUAUCAAAUCCAGAAUGACAAGCAACACUAAUUUAUUUAAACAUAGGCAUUACCAGCCUUCUGUGCAGUUAUCAAUCUGAUGGGUAGUCAUCAAAGGUGUUGUCAAUCCCAAGGCACGAGUUGCAAAGGUUGCACAACUUUCUUCAAUGUUGUCUGUAGUGCCACCAACCUGACAAAAAUUAGAAAAUGAUAGAUUGCAAAGAAACUUUAGGCAGUCAUAUCAAUAAAUUUCAAGACAAGUCUUAUAGAAUAUUAAAUUCGUGACAUUCCGAAUUAGGAAUCUAACACUAUAUCUCAUUCAAAACUAGUAAACAUAUCGCAGACAAUGCUCAAAAUUUAUCUCCAUCUACUGAACAUCAAGCCCCAAAACGAUAAAUCUUGAGAUUGCUCUAUCUUUACGUAACAGUAAUUUGCAAUACCGUUAUUGCUUGAUAAGGACUUCAAGUUAGUAAACCUUGAAGCCUAUCAAACGAAUGGAGGAAUCUAAUACUAGCCUAUUAGGAAUCAGAAUACACAUUAAAAUUUCACCUUGUGUGUAGACAAACAAUAAUGUUGGACACAAUCUUUCAACACUUUGAUGAAGACAUUCAGGGGUCCUAAUUAGGAACCAUAAGGGGUGUUUUUAUUUCAAGUAGGAGUAUUUUAGUAUUUUUUGCAAUAGCUCCACCCACCCUUAUACUAGACUCCUUUGAAACAUAAGGGGUCCCUAAAUAUAAGCCUCAUUACGAAUUUCUAGAUACAUUUAAUACCACCAAUUUGUAUUGGAAUAUGAAAAGUCAAAAUUGAAUGCAUCUAUACACAAAGUAAUUCAGUAAUAGUCAUAAAAUAAAAUGCACACAUUAGUUACACUACCAGCUAGACUUAAUAUUUGAAAAGUGUCAAAGGGUCUUAUGAAUAGGGACAGAGGAGUAUGAAAUUUACAGGACUUAUCACUGUUGACUACAAUCUAAAAUUUCAUAACAAUUCUAUAAGUAUCCUAUAAGGGGGUUAAUAGCUUUUCUGAGUUCAUAAUGUAGGAUAGAUUACAUACUGAAGUACCAGCAGGUUUAUCCAAAACGACGUAUGAUUCCUUCACAGCUAUGAUCCUUGAUCUCCAGUCAAUCUCAUAGGACCUAAAAAGAACUUUCAAAUGUCAAACAUUAUCAUAUCAUGCCUCUAUAAUAACAACGAAAAUGCAAAUCUAACGAACAUCUCAACGUACCUAGGAAAACGCUUAGGGUGCACGUGCACUCGCAAAUAUGUUCCUGGUUCAACAAAUUGAUCCACAUCAGUUACACGGAACGUUUUCUGUGCUUCUCUUAUAGUUUUUCCUUUGACAGAAGCUCUUUUUCGCACAACCAGUGGUUCAGUUACUUCUUUAAAAACCCUAAUUUGCUCUUCAGUAGCAUUAGGAGGAGGUUUCGGACAAACAAGAGCGAAAUACACAGCUCCGAAUUGAAUCAAAUCCGCAACAAACCUUCACAAAAUAAAACUUAGGGUCUAAACCAAUUUUCAUGAAGUUAACAAUAAAACUUCAUAGAUGAACUUCGUACUUACAAAUGAGGAAGAUUCAAAGCUUUACAAAUGUAUUCUAAUACAGGUCCUUCUUCUGUAACAACUAAGUGUUCGAUUCUUGGUGGAGAUUUGUGUGUUGGACAUGGAAGCAAUCGAUCAUACUUAGGGUAGCUUGGAGAAAAAGCAAGUGUCAAUAUCAAACAAAAAAUGUGUAAGCGGUAGAAAGUGCUGAAAUGUAAACACUAAGGGCCUGUUUGGAUUGGCUUAUUUGAGCUUAUCUAUUGACAUAAGUUGUGUGAGACUGUUAGAAAGAACUUUUGAAAACAGCUUAUGGACAUUGUUCAUAAGUUGUUUUCAGCUUAUUUUCAUAAGUUCUCCAAGAUAGCCUGUAAAAAUAAAACUUACACGACAACAAUUUGAUUUAAUUUUAUCUUUUGCAAUAGAAAUAGCUUAUUCAUAAGUGCUUAUCAAGAUAAGGAUUGUGCUAAAAAGCUGUUUAUCCAAACAGAGCCUAAGUAAGAGCUGAAAAUAAAAACUGUGAAUGUUCCAACAGGAAGAAAGUGAUAGUGAAUGUACCUAUUAGAAGAAGAGGUAACUGUUAGGUUUACAGCGUCGGUUGUUGAAGAUUCGGUUUCACCGGCGAUUGCCGUGAAACUGUUGUGUGAACUCCGACAACGCAAACGAAACGCGUGGUUGGUGAGGUGUUUGGUGAGUGAAAUGGGAAUUGCACGCGCCGCUGCCGGAACGGCGAGGGUACGGCAGCUCCCGGCGAAUAACAUUGACGCCACCGCAACGGAACACAUUUUCUCUUUUUGUUUUCGAAGUACUUCUUCAGUUACUGGUAGAAGUUGGUUUUGAAUUUUUUUAAAUUGCUCUUCUGGCCCCCAAAUUUCCAUUUUUACCCGUUUUUACCCCUAAAGAAACCGUUCGGGAGUUACGAAUGAAUUGUUCGGAAGAUAACAUUAUUCAACAACAAAUUUGUUUAAGAGUAUAACUGAAAUAAUGAAUAAUUCAUCUCGAAAAAGCAUGUUUUCCAUUUAUAUAUUGUUAUAGAUUAUUAGAAAUCAAACUUAAAAUCGUCCAUAAGUCCUAACUCAAUUGGUAAAAUGCCGAAAUUAUUAAGCCGGACGUCAUGAUCGGGGUUCGAACUCCGACACCUCCGUUUAUGUGUGUGAGAGUUUAUAAUGACACUGUCAUUUCGUCUAUCUACCCAAAAAAAAUCAAAAAUCAAACUUCAAAUCGUACGAAAAAUGAAUGAUUAUAUGAUUAUUUAAUUACUUAUAUUGAAAGUAAUAUUUUAUUAAAACAAUUACGAUGUAUAAUUAUGCUUUAAAAACUAAAAUAUUAUAUAUAUAUAUAUAUAUAUAUAUAGACACACACACAUAUUGGCGAAAAGACGGCACUCAUAUGCCUGUCUUUCCGCUCUUUUUACUGUGUUAAAACUUGUAAAUUAUGAACUAUGUUUUUUUUAUGAAAUUUUGAUUUUGAUUUUGAUUAAAACUAAAAUAUAAAUGUUUGUUGCUUUCUAGUUAUAACAAACCAAAUUAAACAUGACUAUCUAUUUCAGUAACACCAAUAACAAUCUUUAUUAUAAAAAAAAAGUUGUUUAAGGGUAUAAUUGGGAUAAUAAAAAAUUAAUAUAAAUAUACUCAUUUAGUUUAUUACAUUGUUUAAAUGAUAAAGAGAAAACAAACAUAUAUAUAUAUAUAUAUAUAUAUUCAUAUCGUGUUUGUUACAUUUUUUUAAUAUUUAAAUUUAUUAUUAUCUAUUUGUUACAUUACACGUGUUAUUUGUAUUGAAAAUUAAGGGUAUUUCAUAUUUUAGUUCAAAUAUAUAGUAUAGAUAUAUGUGUGUAUGCGCUACUUGUUCAGCCUGUGAACUGUCUUGGAGGAGCAUUUGUCUUGCGCUCUCUGUGAAUGAAACUAGACGAUGUUUUUCUGCUAAAUUUGUGUAAACAUCCUCAAUCAUAUCUAGAGCAAUAUCAAUAUCAAAAAAUAAACGUAUUAUUCAAGCAUUUCAUUUAACACUUAAAGCACAAUUCACAAUAUCUAAAUUCCUAAUUUAAAUAUGAACACUACAAUUCACUAAAAUUACAAACAAACAACUAAGCUAAACCCUAAACAAUACAUAAAUCAUUGCGGUUACUAAUUUAUCAGAAAAUUUCUUCUCUUAAUUUUAGCUUUCACUUAUAGAGAAUUUUCGCAUUCAACAUUAAAGUUUUAACAUGUAUAGAGAAAAAUGAUCCCAAAAAGAACUACAAGACUAAAAUAUGGAAUAAUUAUUUCAUAUUUUAGUUCGAAAUAAUAUGGUUUUUAGAUUGCAUCAAUAAAUUAAUGUUCAAGUGAUUGAUUGUGUCAAUCUAUUAUUUUGGUGGUGAUUAAAAAAUAGAAUAAAUUGUACCCAAAAAAAAUAAGAAUAAAUAAUUUCAUUAUGGAUGGUCUCACCCACUUGCAUGUUAAGAAUUUAGAGUGUGAUGUUGUUUGUUUUUUGGUUUGUAUUGGUGGGGGCAUUUUCAUUUUGAACCCUUGUAUUGUUUGGGGUUCUUUGCCAUUGAGUACUUUUUGAGUAUUUGUGUUUUGUUGAUUGAGACGUUUAAUAUAUUUCUGGCUUAUUGAAAAAAGCCAAAUAAAAAGACAUGAAAACUCGAAUAUUCUAAAAUUAAAUUAGUAUGUAGAAUGCAGUUAUGGAAGCAAACCAACAUUUAUAUUUGAUAUGGUAUAUUGAUAUUGACUGAAUUGAACUAUCACUUACAUUACAUGGCCACCCAAAGAUUUAGUCCAAGAUUUACAGCUAUUUCUAACGUAUAAGGCACCAUGCACCAUCAAAAUUCUAGCUGUUACCCAUUGUACGUGGGAAAUGGUCCCAACUUGUACUCUUGUUUCUUAUUUAUAGGGUAAGCUAAAUUACCAUUAGGUAACUCAAGUGGUAAUAGGAGUGUGAUUAAAAUAGAAAAUUUAAUUUAGCUAGCUAUGGUUUUCUGCACUGUAAUGUAAUGAAAAAAUUAAAAAAUAUUGUAACUACGCCCAUGACAUCACAUGCAGUGUCUACUCUGAAAUUUCGUCUAGGCAAUUUUGUGAUCAAUUUGUGAGAUCAUCUUUUGUCUCAAUUCCACACCAAAUCCAAGACAAAAACAAAAUAAAAUCUACAGCAUCUGUGUCUCUAGAGCACAAAAUUCGACAGCACAUUAACAUUUUGUGACACAUACCAAUGAAACAACUCAUUCAUGUUGUAACUUUUCGAUGGUACCAAUCUCGUGUGUUUCAAAAGCUGAUUGAGGUUUUCUCUUGUGUAUAUGUUCUGGAUUCCAAUGAAGAUUGCACCACCUGCAUAUUCAUAUCUAAUGGUUGAUUUGGUCUAGAUAAAACGACAAUAUUGAAAAUGGAUGUAAAAAGGUAAAGAGAAAAUAGGAUAAACAGUCUACUUAACUUAGCUGGUAAGGACAAUGAGCUAGUUUAACUGAGCUAGUUUUCCAUUUCACACAGAUUAAGAAAAGUGUAUAAAGGAAAUAGAGAGAGAGAGAGAAAAAAAAAAUAGUUUUGAGUGUCUUUUUCAAGUAUUAGUGCAUUCUUCUUUAUCAUAAAUGUAAAGUAAAAUAUAUUGAAUUGAGAGUUGUGAAAGUAGUAUUAAUUAGAGUUAUAAUUGAAAAAAAGUAAUUAAUGUUGUAUUGAAAAGUGAAAUGGGUCAAAAUUCUUAAAAAAACUUUUUUUUACAAAUGUAAAGUCUGGGUCAAAAUUUUUUAUGGGACGGAGGGAGUAUAAUAUAUAUAAAGUCUGGGUGACGAACCCCAGACACUAUACCCCAUUUUGAAAGAAUUUUGCAAGAGUACCCAAACAAAGUCAAGCAUAUUUAAGAUUUUUCCUAAUUUUAUAUUUUUGACCAUUUGUUUAUUCUUUUUAGAUUUAAAAAAUAAAAACUCAACCUCCAACCCCUAAGGACCGCCUUAUUCUCAUGAUCAAUUACAUCGUCAAAUAUAUUAGUAUGUGUAUGUCUAUGUGCGCGCGUGUGCGUUUGCAUGUGUGUUCUAUAUGUUGUCUAUAUUACUCAAAGUUUAUGGGUCCGUCGCUGUGUAAAUUCUCUACGAUGGUAAUGAUAUAAAAAAAAUGGUGAUUGAAAAUUUAAAAAAAAAAAAAAGGUUUGAGCAAAUGAUAUUAUGGGAAAUUGAUUACUUAGUCGUAAUAAAAUUGAAAUAAUGAUAAAACUAUUGAAGUUAUUAAUUAUACGACACUGUGUGGAUAAUAAUUUACGUAAACACUGAAGUAAUUAAGCACUAGUGGCAAAGGAAGAAAACGAAAUAAAACCUACUAAAUUGAAAAAUUGAAUGUUGAGAGGAUGUUACGUGGAAUAAUCUGGUAUAAAUGUAGGGGGGACACAUUUCUAGAGUCAAAUUCUUACGUCUUUCCUUAUAUAAAAAAAAUCAUUUUGUCUUUUGAAUACUGGACAGACCCACAUGGAUGAUAUGCACCCAUAAGAAAAUCAAUGCAUACUAGAUUAUGGUUUGUAGUGUCACUAUAGUGCAGUUGAGCCUGUAAAUUGUAAUAUUUGGCAAUAUCUUAGUAAAAUAUGGGUCACAUUCGACAAGUCAUUCCUCGAAAGUUUGAGGAAAAUGGUAGUUAGUUUCUGACUCAGACUAAUGUCUCAUUGGACUUCUUUUUCUAUUCUUUUUUUUAGGUUUUUCUUAUGUGUUUUUUACAAGAAAAAGUUUAGGCAACUUGAACGUAAAAAUUACUUACAAAUACUUAAAGUUAACACUAACAAAAUAAUUAUAAACUAUUUUCUUCGUCUUAAAAUAUAAGCAAAAAUUAGUCAACAAAAGUUAACGUAUUUGGUUCAAAAUUUAUAUCAGAUACAUCAACUUAUGUUGACUCAUUUUUACAGAGGUCGUAUUUAAAAAAAAAGUCUUGCUAAUCAGUACCCUCAUGGCAAUGAUUAAAGAAUCUACAAAUAGAAAUUUUGUUUUAGAAAUGUAAGAUUUUACUUUGGAUAAAGUAAUGAUUGCACAACUUUUUCGUAAAAACUUACUUAUUUUAAAUUUUUAAUUUUUAAUCAUUGCCCUUAGAACAUUAGUUAGCAUUCUCCUUAAAAAAAAAAAAAAAAAUCCUUCUUAUAAGAGUUCAACUCGCAUUUAGAUGAAAUGAGUCAACUUUAUAAUAAUUGUGUCAUUUUUCAUUGACUCUUAUAUUAUUGUUAUACACUUUUUUUUUUUUUUUUUUUUUACAUUUUCAUUAAUAUAGCUCUUGUUCUUUAAAAAAGAUCUCAUAUUUAAAUUUAAAUAAUAACAAAAAAAUGCACAAUCCUUAAAAAAGUUGGUUGAAGGCGUUUUACAUGAUGAAAACAAUAAUCAUGUUUUUCUUUCAAAAAAAAGUUCUUGUUAACACUUCAAUUUCCGAUGCAUUGAAUGCAUAAUUUUUCAUAAAAAUUUACUAUUUAAAGUACUUAAAGUUUCCCAAAAAAAUAAUACUACCUCCGUCCUUAAUUAUAAGAU